CCCUCUCUGUCUCUCUCUCUCUCUCUCUCUCCCUCUCUCUUUCUCCCUCUCUCCCUCUCUGUCUUUCUCCCUCUCUCUCUCUCACUUUCUCUGCCUGUGCAGCCUCUGUCUUCUGUCUGUGUGUCAAGAGUUUGGAUCUUGUUGGUCACAUGUUGUGUUGUUGUGGCUACAGGUGCUGAGUCAUAAAAUGCAGACAGCUAAACAGCCAACCACAAAUCCUGAACCACUGACAACUCUGGAAAAGUGUUCAAGUGUGUCGUGCUCUCCUGAACCACUGACAACUCUGGAUAAGUGUUCAAGUGUGUCGUGCUCUCCUGAACCACUGACAACUCUGGAGUCUGACAUCUUGGCCGUAUCACAGAAAACAUCCAUGGAAAGAGCCAAACAAAGACAGGAAGAGGAGGAGCAGAAGAGAAUGGACAGAGAGAGAGAGAUCAGGGCAGAGGAGGAGAAGAAGAGAAUGGACCGAGAGAGAGAGAUCAGGGCAGAGGAGGAGAAGAAGAGAAUGGACAGAGAGAGAGAAGUCAGGGCAGAGGAGGAGAAGAAGAGAAUGGACUUGGACAAGAAAAUCAGGCAGGAAGAAGAGGAGAAAAGACAGGCGAUGCUGGAGGAGGUGAAGGCCCAGUGUAGCAGUGGUCAGAUAGUUAGCAUUAGCUCCAUUAGCUUUGGGUUUAUUCUCUCAGUGUUGCUGUUUAACCACUUAAUGGAUUACUGACCGAUGUGGAUGUGCUGACAUCAUGGCCGGAUUAAGAAACCACGGGGCCCUGGGCCUGGACAUGUUAAAGGCCAAAAAGCAAAUCAUGCAUCACCACUUUUAUGUUUGAAAGGCGUCGUUCGGCAGGUGUACUGUGCCUCUGGCUGUGCUCAGUCAGCUUGUAGGUCUUGACGUUCAGAUUCUGCGCCUAAACUAGCUAUAUCGUAUCGUCUCGUCACAUGAUCAAAUAGAGACUUGACAUUGGACAACAAGAUACAUAUUACCCAGCAAUCAUCAUUGCAUAUCUGUAUAUGACAAAAAUAACAAAGAAAAUUAGAAAUGAUUAAUUUAAUUGAAUCAGCUUUUUAAUAGUUUCUAUAGUGUAUGUACGAUAAGCAUAUAAUUGUGUUAUAGAUUGCUACUGACGGUUUCCCCCUAAAAAUGAUGAAAACCAUGACAGAGACAUGUUUGCCAUUUUGAGGGGAUAUAUAGCAUAAGGUAUCAUAAAUCAGUACUAAAAAAAAUCCUCCUUGGUCGCUGUCGCAUUAAACUAGCGACACUUUGACAUCCAUAUAUCCGAGAGAAGUAAGAAAGCAGGUCUGCUUUGCCUACGAACCUUCCGCGCUGGCUGCAUUGUCUAUAGUUAUGCCCCUGGUGCACAUAUACUUUUUCUAACACAGCACAGGUACACUCAAUUAAAGCAAUUAGCAAAUGAACAAAAUACACCUUUUUCAACCACAAAUAAGAGAUACAUAACAGCGACUUCACGCAGAGGCUCUGGCUUAGGGGCCCCCUGAGCUCAUUGGCCCCUGGGCCUGGGCCCGGUAGGACCGUUCGGUAAUCCAUCCCUGGCUGACAUGUUUGUCACUGUUUCUCACAGUAAAGCUCAUUUGUCAGUUAAAGGGAGUGUUUAAUUCAGUUAAAGGUAUUGUGGGAGACCCAUAUUGCUAGUCUGUAAUUCAGUUAAAGGUGUUGUGGGGGACCCAGACUGCUAGUGUGUAAUUCAGUUAAAGGUGUUGUGGGAGACCCAGACUGCUAGUGAUCUGUUCUGUUGCGUGAUGUUCUCCCAUUGUGUGUUCUAUUUUACCUUUGAUUGCUAGCAGUUUGUUUUUUAUUUGAUUUAUGAUUUUUCCUCAUUAUAUGCUGAUGGACACUGUCUGCUGCCCCCUGCUGGUGAUCUGCUUGUCAUAACUGGGCUUAGCUCAGUCAGGCUCUGUGUCAUUUCUAUCUGGUGAUGUGUAGCAGAUUUGUAAUGAAUAGAAAAUAAAUAAAUAAUUCCUGCAUGGACUUACUCAGUGUCUUUGACCCAUGACCCGUCGUCACCUAAUCAGAGAGAGAGAGAGAGAGAGAGAAAACUAACGAGAGAGAGAGAGAGCAAACGAGAGAGAGAACGAGAGAAAAAACACAGUUAACAGAGGACACUGUUAUUCAGCAUUCUCAUGUCUAUGAGUCAGUCAGCAGGCAGCACAGAGUCAAGGGUAAAACAUGGAGUGGACCAGUGGCAGGGAACAUGGCAUAAAAUGUUAUGUAAACACAGCAUAGCAGGAAACAAAGAAAACAUGAACCAGAAUCUGGAUAUCUUGGGCAGGAUCAUGACCAUGGAAACAAAGAUAAAACACACACACAUACUACACAUACACACACUUCACAAAUACACACAUCCCACAUAAACACACACUACACAGACAAACACACACUACACAAAGACACACACAC
ensembl:lncRNA